AGUAGCUGCUAGCCCCGUGCAGGUAAGCUCCCUCUCUUUAAUAUAGCACUAGGAAAAUUAGUAUUCGGCCUUUUUGCGAUUAUUGUUAUUAAAAAGGGGUCAAAGGAUGUAGCACAACAGUGUGAAAUGUGAAGCGCCAUAAUACUUAGUAUCAUGCAUUUCCUUCACUAGAUUUUUCUUUAGAGAAUAGAAUUGGGCAUGGCAUGUCAAACCAAUCAGACCGUGGAAUUUAAUGUUUGCAAUCCUUGGCUUACCUCGGUGAUUUUGUGGUUGCCAUGUUCUUGCUUGAAAUGGUAACAUAAUCCUGACUCCAAGUCUCCAAAGAGUAGAAAUGAAACAAGGCUUGGAGUACUUACCUAAUCCUUUUGUUAACAGGUUGUGGUAGGCAGUUUCCUA
rnacentral:misc_RNA from 1 species